rnacentral:rRNA from 1 species
UACGUAGGGUGCGAGCGUUAAUCGGAUUUACUGGGCGUAAAGCGUGCGCAGGCGGUCUGUUAAGACCGAUGUGAAAUCCCCGGGCUUAACCUGGGAACUGCAUUGGUGACUGGCAGGCUUUGAGUGUGGCAGAGGGAGGUAGAAUUCCACGUGUAGCAGUGAAAUGCGUAGAGAUGUGGAGGAAUACCGAUGGCGAAGGCAGCCUCCUGGGCCAACACUGACGCUCAUGCACGAAAGCGUGGGGAGCAAACAGG